GCUUACGGCCAUACCACCCUGAGAACGCCCGAUCUCGUUUGAUCUCGGAAGCUAAGCAGGGUCGGGCCUGGUUAGUACUUGGAUGGGAGACCGCCUGGGAAUACCAGGUGCUGUAAGCC
rnacentral:rRNA from 1 species